rnacentral:rRNA from 1 species
UGGGGAAUAUUGCACAAUGGGCGAAAGCCUGAUGCAGCAACGCCGCGUGAGGGACGACGGCCUUCGGGUUGUAAACCUCUUUUAGCAAGGAAGAAGCGAAAGUGACGGUACUUGCAGAAAAAGCGCCGGCUAACUACGUGCCAGCAGCCGCGGUAAUACGUAGGGCGCAAGCGUUAUCCGGAAUUAUUGGGCGUAAAGAGCUCGUAGGCGGUUUGUCGCGUCUGCUGUGAAAACCCGAGGCUCAACCUCGGGCCUGCAGUGGGUACGGGCAGACUAGAGUGCGGUAGGGGAGAUUGGAACUCCUGGUGUAGCGGUGGAAUGCGCAGAUAUCGGGAAGAACACCGAUGGCGAAGGCAGAUCUCUGGGCCGUAACUGACGCUGAGGAGCGAAAAGGGUGGGGAGCAAAACAGGCUUAGAUACCCUGGUAGUCCACCCCGUAAACGUUGGGAACUAGUUGUGGGUCCAUUCCACGGAUUCCGUGACGCAGCUAACGCAUUAAGUUCCCCGCCUGGGGAGUACGGCCGCAAGGCUAAAACUC